AUUGGUCGAUAACUGUGAAAUUGAUUUAAGUGAUUAGUUAGAUACAAGUGAACAAUGGUUACAAGAUGACUAGAGACAAGUUAAAUAAUGGAGGAAUAAUUAUUGGCUUGCAUUUAUAUAGUAUAGUAUAUUUAAUAUAGAAUAACUAAUAAGACUUAAUUCACCAAGAUUUAAUAAUUGUAAGACCAAUAAAGUUGAAUGUGAAUAUUUUGCAAUUAAAAUAAGGUUAUUUUUAAUUGCAAAACCAGCAAUUUGUGUUAGAAAAACAAAUGACAUUUAAAAAAAAUGGUUUAUUAUUUAAUUCUCAUAGAAAGGGUCCUCUCUGGUAUUGCCUUGUUAAAUAAUAAGCAUUCUCAUUCGUUUAACAUGUAUUGUAAAAUCAGGGGCGGGUUAUGUCACUUGCCAAGAAAGGGGAUAAAAUGUUCAACAAAAAAAAAGUCUGCAUAUUUUCAUUUUUAAGAUUGUUUUAUUUUUUGUACUUUAGUGUAAUAAUCAAGUUCAUAUACGUAUAAUUAUGUAUAAUAGUCAAUUUCAUUUGUCAGUAUAGUAAUCCAGUUCUGUAUAAUAGUCAAUUUACAAAAGAAUUUUAUGAAAAAAAGUCCUAAGGAACGGUGGUAUUGUGGGUACGGGGGAAGAGGCUACUACCCAAUGCCCCCCCCCCUAAAACCCGCCACUGUGUAAAAUCUCCUCUUUUUCAGUGAUUACCACAUGGCAACCCUAUUAAAAGAUAAUUAGCUAAGUUUGAAGGUUUGGAUUGUCUUUUAAAAGACAUUCAAGGAUUUUUCAAAAAAUAUAUAAAUAUAAACAGCGCACAUUUAUUUAAAACUUUAAAUCACUGAUAAAAGAUUUAAUAAAUAAUUGAUUAAAAAGGUUUAUUUUAUAAAAAUAAAUAUAUUAUUGGUUAGCCUCUAAACUUACCCUGCUUAUUGAAUAAAUGUUUAACAGUAAGUAUUGUAUUUCUGAGUAAAUAUUUGAUAGCAGUGUUUACGUACAGUCCUAUACAGUUCUUUUCAGAUUAACAAUAAAUAUUAAUCUUGAUGCCAUUUAAAUGUGUUCAAAUUUUAUAUUUUUUUGAUUUUGAUAAUACAAAUAUGAUGAUUAAUGCUGAGAUAAUUACACAGAAAAAUAUUUUCAUAUUAUUAUCAAUGAUGGAGUGAAACAUUUGUAUUAGGAUGCAUGGGAAUUGCAAAUGAAUAUCAAGCUGCUAUGGCAACCAUUUGAAUCUGAUAGUUACUGUGAGCAAUAUAGUAUAUUAUUUUAAAUCAAAUUAACUGCGAAAAAUGAAUUUCAAUAAACUGGUCACUUUGCUAAAAUUUCAACAAACAACGUAAGUAUAUUACUAAUUUAAGACUGGAAGGUUAAACUUUCAAAUAUCUUCAAUAAGCAUCUGCUAUGCAUUAAGUGUUUAAAAAUAUCAAUUAUAAAGUAAGUAAAACAAAAUGUAUUUUAAAAUUUUAAUUUACACAAAGCAUAGAGAGUUUUUAACAAAAGCUCAAAUAAAUAAUCGUAUUGCAAAUAUUGAAAAGGCCUCUCCAUUGGUAAAUAAACGUCAAACAAUAUGUAUAGAGAAUGCAAGCAAAUGUUAAGCAGUUAUAUUUAUUAUUGCUUAGUUUCUUUUUGUAUAUUUAUAAUAUAUACUAUACCUGUAAUCUUGAAUAUUCACAUUUUUAGUACUAAUUUGUAUAUUUAUUUAGUUAUGUUUUAGUUAACAUAAUGUAUUUAACUUAAUAAUUUAACGUUAAACUAAUGAACUUUAAAAAAAGAUUAUUUUGCAAACUAAAGUUUAACAUUUUGUUGUUGAAAAACCUGUAAUAUCUAAUUUUUAUUUCCAGAUUGUAUUUUAAGCUAGUUUUUUUUUAGCCUAAAUAACCAUAGCUAAUAAAGGCUAGCAAAUGACUGACUGAAAAAAAGCUGAAAAAUUUGUUUCAGCUUAUUUUCUGACACAAUUAUGACUAUUAAUUGUUACUAUUUAAUAAAACUUUUCACUUUAGGGUUUUAAUUAUGAUACAAACAUUCAACUGUAUGAUUUUAAUUAUGACAAUUAUAUACAAGCAUUUAACUAUAUGAGAUUAAUGAGCUAGCAAGUAAAAAACUUACUUUGAUCAAACAUAGUUUGAUGAGAGGAUAAGAAUAUUAACUCUUCAAAGUUUAGGAAAUAUAAAAAAUCAACGCUUUUAAAAAAGUUUUUUUCUAUUUUUUUAUUAAUAAAAUUUUAGGUUUUCUUCUUAUUAUUAUUUUUCAUUGUGUUCAGUUUUCAUUAUUAACUUUUUAUUGUUAAAACUACUAAAAUUUAUGUUUAUUUCAGAAUGAUAAAAAUGAUUAAACAAGAAAAAAAUCAAUACUUGAGGGAAUGGUGCCAAAGUAAUCAAGCCUUAAAUAAUAUACUUGUAAAUGAAGAAAUUGACAACUCAUUGGAUGUCAAAUCUAGUAUUAAUGAAGUCUAGAUUUUUAUUGAUUUCAAAAACAUUAAAAUUGAGAACUAUAGUGACUUAUUUUGUGUCUGAUCAUAAAGAUACUUCUGAAACUGAGAGUUCUGAUCUAGACUCUUAGGUUCCUAUGAGUGAUAAUAAUGAAGAUCUUAAUGAUGGAGUACUUGUUACAGAGAUUGCCAAAUGGACUUUAAAACACAGAAUAACUAUAAAUGCAAGUGAUGAACUGUUUUAUUUAAUUUUACACCAGUAUGGUCAUCAUGUUGAUUUACUCAAAUGAACAAGUACAAUUUAAAAUACUUCUAGGAAUGUUCCAAGUGAGUUAAAAUGUGGAGGUGAGUAUGUUUAUUUUAGUAUUUCAAACAGUAUAUCAAGAACUUUAGUAGUCAACUAGCAUUAUAGAUUUGAGUCAAGUACAAUUUUUCUAGUUGUCAAUGUAGAUAGCCUUCCCUUAUUCGAGUCAUCAAACACACAGGCCUAUAAUAUGUAUGUUUGACAAAGGGACACCAUUUAUUGUAUUGCUAUUUGUUAGUGAUAACAAGCCAAAUAUUAGUGAUGAUUUUUUAUAUGAUUUUUUGCAUGAGUAUGAGUUAUUAUUGGCAAAUGGUUUUCAGUAUAAUUCAUAUAACUUCAAUUACAUCUUGAGAAAGAUUUUUGCAAAUGUGCGAAUAAAAAUGACAGGAAGUUAAAGCGUAACCGUUUUUAAAAGAUUGAGUCCCUUAAAGAAUUUUAUUAAUUUGAAACCAGAUUAAAACAUAACUGGGAGUACGAUAAAUUGAACAACUGUGACAAAUAACCAAAUGAAUCCUGUCUUAUUCGAACAUGAACUUUUCGCCAGACUUUCAUUUAUGUUUUAGCUUUGUAACCUCAAGAAAGCAGGUAGAAAAAAAUGUUAAAGAAAAUACAAAAAAUGUUAUGGUCGGAAUUAUGGAGCAUCAUGUUAGCCCAAGUUGAAUAUGAAAAGCAAAAUUCAUGGUGAUAUAAAGAAGGAAUUAUUCGAAGAUAAAAAGUUGUGUAAAGCAAUAAUUGAAAUCAUUCUGCUAAUGCACUAGAGUUCGACGGAAUCAAACAAAAGAUCAAAUAGGAAGCAUUUUAAAGUUCUCUCCAUUAAACAAUUAUUUAUUUUUGAGUUUUUUUAUAAAUUUAUAAUAAAAAAAAUAUAUACAUCUUUAAUAAUAAAUUUAUAGUAAAAAGAAUAUAUACAUCAUA